rnacentral:lncRNA from 1 species
GGGUACCUGGUUUCAGCAUCUCGUAGGACGUGACUGACAUAAUAGACCGGAUGCUGCUUUCCACUGACCUCCCGAACCAGCACUGCUCCAACUGCCAACGAACUUGCUGCAAGGUACAAAUACAAGGUCUCUGCUGGGGCAGGCUUCACCAAUAAAGGAGCAGAAGACAGAUAUGUCUUUAUGCCUUAGAAGGCGUCUUCACACUCCGAAGUCCACUGGAACGUCUUCGCAUUCUUCGGCCCCUUCAAUGUGUCGAAGAACGGCAAGCAUCUCUCCGCAGACUUCGACAUAAA